UUAAGCAACUUGUUCAUAGUGAUAAUUGUAGAAAAGUGUAGAAAAAUGACACCUGCAUUAUAUCCUGGGAUGAAGAAACGUUAUUUUAUGUCGAUUUCUUUAGAUGACAAAGGAGGUAACCAAAUAGCAUAUCUUACAAAAUCUGAGGACAAUAAUAAGGAUCGUUUAGCAAGUCGGUUGAGAAGCGGAUCGAGAAUGAUUGUUUGAAUAUAAGUCGUACAAAAUUGGAAUGAAACGAUGAACAAUAUACAGAUCUUUAGACAGGCUCAAAUAAUGUAUGUUUAGGAGGCAAUUGAAGAUAAUGGAGAUUUAUCUUCUUAAUAUAAAACCUCUAAAAUUGGGAACAGUAUGUCAUAUAUGCAUGAACUUGAUUGAUGUAUUGAUGUAUAAUGAACUGAAGAUAGAAUGAAUUCAAUCAGGUUAAAAAAAAUGUAUGUGCAAAGCGACUCGAAGACGAUUUAGAUUUGUCUCCUGAAUAUAAAACUUCCAAGAAGUACAACAUAUAUGAAUAUCCUGUAUCCUCGCAUUUGAACUGGCGAUAGAAUGAAAUCAGUCAGUGUUAAAAAUGUAUAUGUAAAAGCGACUUUAAGAUGAUGGAGAUUUGUACACUGAACAUAAAACUUCCAAAAUUUGGGGCAGUAUGUCAUAUGUGCAUAAUCUGUAUCCUGGCAUUUGAUGCAAUGAACUGGCAAUA